CCCUUAGAUGUUCUGGGCCGCACGCGCGCUACACUGAUGCAUUCAACAAGCCUAGCCUUGACCGAGAGGUCCGGGUAAUCUUUGAAACUGCAUCGUGAUGGGGCUAGAUUAUUGCAAUUAUUAAUCUUCAACGAGGAAUGCCUAGUAAGCGUGAUUCAUCAAAUCGCGUUGAUUACGUCCCUGCCCUUUGUACACACCGCCCGUCGCUCCUACCGAUUGAAUGUGUUGGUGAGGAGCUCGGAUUGGCAGCAGUUGGUGGCUCGCCACCGGCUAUUGCUGAGAAGUCCUCCAAACCGCCCCAUUUAGAGGAAGGAGAANUCGUANCA
rnacentral:rRNA from 1 species